UGGGGAAUAUUGCGCAAUGGGGGCAACCCUGACGCAGCAACGCCGCGCGCGGGAAGAAGGCGUCCGCGUCGUAAACCGCUUUCAGCAGGGAAGACAUCGACGGUACCUGCAGAAGAAGCCCCGGCUAACUACGUGCCAGCAGCCGCGGUAACACGUAGGGGGCGAGCGUUAUCCGGAUUCAUUGGGCGUAAAGCGCGCGCAGGCGGGCCGCUAAGCGGGACCUCUAAUCUCGGGGCUCAACCCCGAGCCGGGUCCCGAACUGGCGGCCUCGGGUCGGGUAGGGGGAGGCGGAAUUCCCGGUGUAGCGGUGGAAUGCGCAGAUAUCGGGAAGAACACCGACGGCGAAGGCAGCCUCCUGGGCCCUUGACCGACGCUGAGGCGCGAAAGCCGGGGGAGCGAACAGG
rnacentral:rRNA from 2 species